AGUGAGGUCUUCAGGAUCAGGCUCUGGGUCUUCAGAAACCGGGUCCAGAUCUUCAGGAUUGGGGUCUAGGUCCUCGGAGUCAGAGUCGAGCUCUUCAUAAACGGGUCUCAGGCCUUUGUGGCCUGGGUUCCUGACCAGGACUGAGCGCCGCAUUUCAGGCGUGGAUGUGCCCGCAGCUUCUGGGGCAAGACCUGCAAGGGCAAGGAUAGAGGGUAGAGGGUAGGUGGGUUCUGUGGGAGCGGGGGUGUCUUUUGGAGUCUGGUUAGGGAUGAGAGACGGGACCCGAUUGUGCCCCCAGAACCCACUUCUUUUUUUUUUUUUUUUUUUUUUUGAGAUGGGGUCUCGUUCUGUUGCCAAGGCUGGAGUGCAAAGGUACCAUCUCGGCUCACUGCAACCUCCGCCUCCCAGGUUCAAACAACUCUCCUGCCUCAGCCUCCUGAGUAGCUGGGAUUACAGGUGUCCACCACCAUGCCUGGCUAAUUUUUGUAUUUUUAGUAGAGAUGGGAUUUCAGCAUGUUAGACAGGCUGGUCUCAAACUCCUGACCUCAGGUGAUCUGCAUGCCUCAGCCUCCCAAAGUGCUGGGAUUACAGGCGUGAGCCACCGCGCCCAGCCCCACUUCUUUAUUUUUAUUUUUUUGAGAUGGGGUCUCACUCUGUCACCCAGGCUAGAGUGCAGUGAUGUGAUCAUACAUAGCUCACUGCAGACUGGAACUCCCGGGCUCAAGCGAUCCUCCCACCUCGGCCUCUCAAGUAGCUGGAAUUACAGAUGCACCACCACACUCAGCUAACUUCAAUUCUUUCUUUCUUUCUUUCUUUCUUUCUUUCUUUCUUUCUUUCUCUCUCUCUCUCUUUCUUUCUUUCUUUCCUUCCUUCCUUCUUUUCCUUCCUUCUCUCUCUUCUUCCUUCUUUCCUUCCUUCUUUCCUUUCUCUCUCCCUCUGUCUCUCUUUUUUGAGAUGGGGUGUCGCUAUGUUGCCCAGGCUGGUAUCAAACUCCUGGACUCAAGCAAACCUCUGGCCUUGGCCUCAGAAAGUGCUGGGAUUACAGGCAUGAGCCACUGUGCCUGGCCAAACCCCACUCACUUCUGAGCAUACACGUGGAUCCUUCCCUUGUCUCUGACUGCAAGGAGAUUUCUGACUUACCCCAGCCAGGGCAGGGAGUUGAGGGAACCAGGUGGGACAUGGUAGGACCCUCCCCUCUCAGCCCCAAACCUGGACGGAGGUCAUGAGACCCAGCACUAGAGGUUUCUAGUCCCCAACUCCAUGGCUCUGCACCUCUCUCCAACCUGGGCUCCUCUUGUGGGAAGCUGGGGUCCUGUGGAGGAGACAGUCCUAGCUUCCUACCCCCUUGCUGGGCGUCCCCACAUGGGGAACAGUGUGGGUGUCAGCGUUUCUGUGCUCCUGAGCACAUGGCCUGAAUUCUUGUCCCAUACUUGGAGGCGGCAGAUUAAUUUAGGGGGCGAGUUCUGGUAGGGAGGCCCCCCUCCAGCAGCAGCAUUCUGAGCUCUAGAACCCAUGUCUGGGGGAUAAGAAUAUGGAACAAAUAACAUCAGGUAUCCCUCCCAAGUCACUGGGGAAAGACAAGAAGACUCUGGCUUGCCCUCUGGGGAAAAGAAAACCUGAAUUCCAGAGCUCACAGCUCCAGGUGGGAGUCAGUGUCAAAUCCUCUCUCUUAGACAGAUCGGAAAUGCCCUUUCCUACAGCCAGAUAGUGAGCAUGGUAGAGUGAUAUUUGGGACCCCUCCUGGUGAGGAGGGAUGGGUAGGGAGACUCAUGAACCCCAUAGGCAGGAUGGUGGGGACAGUUGUUAGUAUACCUGUUUUAUUUAUUUAUUUAUGUUUGAGAUGGGGUCUUGGUAUGUUGCCCAGGCUGGACUCAAACUCCUGGGCUCAAAUGAUCCUCCCACCUCAGCCUCCCAAAGUAUGGUGAUUACAGGCAUGAGCCACCAUGCCCGGCCAGUAUACCUGUUUUCCCUAUUGGCUAGAAGGUCCUGCAUUUUAACUUCUAGCUGGAGGAUAGGCAAAAAUAAUACCUGGGGACCCUCUGAAGUUAAUGGGGGAACGCCUGAGUCAUCUCCUCCCAUGGCUGGGACAUGGCGGGUAGUGUCAGCACACUUGUAGCCCUUCCUGCAGGAAGGAUCCUGAACUGAAUUGCCAGCUUGUGGCUAGGGGCAGACUGGGAGGUAGAGGGACAAAAGCUGGAACCACUUCUGGGGAGCAAUGGGAGCCCAGGAUGACCUGCCGGGAGGAUGCCUUGAGCUCCCCACCCCAUGGCUGGGUGUUGAGGUGUCAACAAUGAAUGAUCUGCUCCUGGGAGAAGCUGUGGGGGGACCUGUGGCUCCCCUUCUGGGGAAAGGAAUACACUGAGCCACAACCCCAUAGCUGGGAGUGUGCAGGCAAACAGAGCCGAGUUCCUGGACGGCGGUCCUCAACCCAGACCCCAUAGUUGGAGAGUGGGGGAAACAAGACCUGGGACCCCUCCUGCAUCAGGGGCAGAGGAACCCUUAGAUUGCCUCCAGGGGAAGGAGCCCCCUGAAUUCCCAUCUCUUAACUGGAAGGUGGGAGGAGAAAUCACUUAAGUCUUUCCUGAGUUCCCAGGGGUGAGGGCAGGUGGACCCCUGGAUCACCUCCAGGGAAAGGAGCUUCCAGAACUGCAGACCCCAAGACUGGAGGGGCAAGGGAAC
rnacentral:lncRNA from 1 species